UCCGAUUGAUCCCGUCGGACCUUACUGCUAUCGAGAUGGGACUAAUCAAGGCCAGUCGAACGACCCGGACUAUGGCGGGGAGUGGCGCACUGCUCAGUAACACGUAGCUAACCUAACCUCAAGACGGAAAUAACCCCGGGAAACUGGGGUCAAUGUCCGAUAGAUGUGAAUUCCUGGAAUGGUGUCACAUCCAAACGUCAACACACCAUGUUGUGCGAACGCUUGAGGAUGGGGCUGCGGCCGAUCAGGCUGUUGGUGGGGUAAUGGCCCACCAAAACCUUUGACCGGUAUGGGCCAUGAGAGUGGUAGCCCAGAGAUGGACACUGAGACAAGGGUCCAGGCCCUACGGGGCGCAGCCGGUACGAAACCUCCACAAUGCACGCAAGUGCGAUGGGGUUAUCUCGAGUGUUAUCUGAAAAAGGUAGCUUUUCCAUGGUCUAAAUAGCCGUGGGAAUAAGGGGGGGGCAAGACUGGUGUCAGCCGCCGCGGUAACACCAGCCCCCCGAGUGGUAGGGAUGUUUAUUUGGCCUAAAGCGUCCGUAGCCGGCUAAGUAAAUUUCUCGUUAAAUCCAACGUCCUAAGCGUUGUGCUGCGAGAAAGACUGCUUAGCUAGAGGGUGGGAGAGGUCAGCGGUAUUCCUGGGGUAGGGGCGAAAUCCAUUGAACCCAGGAGGACCACCAGUGGCGAAGGCUGCUGACUAGAACACGCCUGACGGUGAGGGACGAAAGCUGGGGUAGCGAAUCGGAUUAGAUACCCGAGUAGUCCCAGCCGUAAACGAUGCAGACUAGGUGUUGGGUUGGCCACGCGCCGACUCAGUGCCACAGGGAAGCCAUUAAGUCUGCCGCCUGGGAAGUACGGCCGCAAGGCUGAAACUUAAAGGAAUUGGCGGGGGAGCACCACCAGGCGUGAAGCCUGCGGUUUAAUUGGAGUCAACGCCGGGAACCUUACCGGGAGCGACAGCAGAGUGAAGGCCAGGCUAAAGGUCUUGCCAGACGAGCUGAGAGGAGGUGCAUGGCCGUCGCCAGUUCGUGCCGUGAGGUGUCCUCUUAAGUGAGGUAACGAACGAGACCCGCGCCGCAUGUUGCUAACAAGUCCUAAAGGGAUGUUGAGCACUCUUGCGGGACCGCAGCCGACAAGGCUGAGGAAGGUGCGGGCAACGGCAGGUCAGUAUGCCCCGAAUCUCCCGGGCCACACGCGGGCUGCAAUGGUAGAGACAGAGGGCUGCAACCCCGAAAGGGGAAGCCAAUCCCUAAACUCUACCUCAGUUGGGAUUGAGGGCUGCAACCC
rnacentral:rRNA from 1 species